UGGGGAAUAUUGCACAAUGGGCGGAAGCCUGGUGCAGCGACGCCGCGUGGGGGAUGAAGGCCUUCGGGUUGUAAACUCCUUUCGACAGGGACGAAGCUUUUGUGACGGUACCUGUAUAAGAAGCACCGGCUAACUACGUGCCAGCAGCCGCGGUAAUACGUAGGGUGCGAGCGUUGUCCGGAAUUACUGGGCGUAAAGAGCUCGUAGGUGGUUUGUCGCGUCGUCUGUGAAAUUCCGGGGCUUAACUCCGGGCGUGCAGGCGAUACGGGCUGACUUGAGUGCUGUAGGGGAGACUGGAAUUCCUGGUGUAGCGGUGAAAUGCGCAGAUAUCAGGAGGAACACCGAUGGCGAAGGCAGGUCUCUGGGCAGUAACUGACGCUGAGGAGCGAAAGCAUGGGUAGCGAACAGGAUUAGAUACCCUGGUAGUCCAUGCCGUAAACGGUGGGCGCUAGGUGUAGGGGGCUUCCACGUCUUCUGUGCCGUAGCUAACGCAUUAAGCGCCCCGCCUGGGGAGUACGGCCGCAAGGCUA
rnacentral:rRNA from 1 species